rnacentral:rRNA from 1 species
GGACCCGCACAAGUAGUGGAGCAUGUGGUUUAAUUCGAAGAUACGCGCAGAACCUUACCAACACUUGACAUGUUCGUCGCGACUUUAAGAGAUUAAAGUUUUCGGUUCGGCCGGACGAAACACAGGUGCUGCAUGGCUGUCGUCAGCUCGUGUCGUGAGAUGUUGGUUAAGUCCCGCAACGAGCGCAACCCUCACUUUUAGUUGCCAUCAUUAAGUUGGGCACUCUGAAAGAACUGCCAGUGAUAAGCUGGAGGAAGGUGGGGAUGACGUCAAGUCCUCAUGGCCCUUACGUGUUGGGCUACACACGUGCUACAAUGGCAGGUACAGAGGGUUGCCAACCCGCGAGGGGGAG